CCUACGGGAGGCUGCAGUGGGGAAUAUUGCACAAUGGGCGCAAGCCUGAUGCAGCCAUGCCGCGUGUGUGAAGAAGGCCUUCGGGUUGUAAAGCACUUUCAGCGGGGAGGAAGGCGGUGAGGUUAAUAACCUCAUCGAUUGACGUUACCCGCAGAAGAAGCACCGGCUAACUCCGUGCCAGCAGCCGCGGUAAUACGGAGGGUGCAAGCGUUAAUCGGAAUUACUGGGCGUAAAGCGCACGCAGGCGGUCUGUCAAGUCGGAUGUGAAAUCCCCGGGCUCAACCUGGGAACUGCAUUCGAAACUGGCAGGCUAGAGGCUUGUAGAGGGGGGUAGAAUUCCAGGUGUAGCGGUGAAAUGCGGAGAGAUCUGGAGGAAUACCGGUGGCGAAGGCGGCCCCCUGGACAAAGACUGACGCUCAGGUGCGAAAGCGUGGGGAGCAAACAGGAUUAGAUACCCCUGUAGUC
rnacentral:rRNA from 1 species